CCUACGGGAGGCAGCAGUGGGGAAUAUUGGGCAAUGGGGGCAACUCUGACCCAGCGACGCCGCGUGAGCGAUGAAGGUCUUCGGAUUGUAAAGCUCUUUAAGCAGGGACGAAGAAAGUGACUGUACCCGCAGAAUAAGCCUCGGCUAACUACGUGCCAGCAGCCGCGGUAAUACGUAGGAGGAAAGCGUUAUCCGGUAUGAUGGGGCGUAAAGGGUGCGUAGGCGGAAUGCCACGUCAGCGGUAAACUCGCGGGGCCCAACCUCGCUCCGCCGUUGAAACUGGAGGUCUUGAGUGGGGGAGAAGUAUGCGGAAUGCGUGGUGUAGCGGUGAAAUGCAUAGAUAUCACGCAGAACUCCGAUUGCGAAGGCAGCAUACCGGCGCCCAACUGACGCUGAAGCACGAAAGCGUGGGUAUCGAACAGGAUUAGAUACCCGGGUAGUC
rnacentral:rRNA from 1 species